AUGAUCGUAGUUAAGAGGCCCC
rnacentral:siRNA from 1 species